rnacentral:rRNA from 1 species
GACGAACGCUGGCGGCGUGCUUAACACAUGCAAGUCGAACGGAAAGGCCCUGCUUUUGUGGGGUGCCCGAGUGGCGAACGGGUGAGUAACACGUGAGUAACCUGCCCUUGACUUUGGGAUAACUUCAGGAAACUGGGGCUAAUACCGGAUAGGAGCUCAUGCUGCAUGGUGGGGGUUGGAAAGUUUCGGCGGUUGGGGAUGGACUCGCGGCUUAUCAGCUUGUUGGUGGGGUAGUGGCAUACCAAGGCUUUGACGGGUAGGCGGCCUGAGAGGGUGACCGGCCACAUUGGGACUACGAUACGGCCCAGACUCCUACGGGAGGCAGCAGUGGGGAAUAUUGCACAAUGGGCGGAAGCCUGAUGCAGCAACGCCGCGUGCGGGAUGACGGCCUUCGGGUUGUAAACCGCUUUCGCCUGUGACGAAGCGUGAGUGACGGUAAUGGGUAAAGAAGCACCGGCUAACUACGUG